GUGAAUUAAAAUUAAAGUGGUAGUUUGACACACCCACAGCUGAGCCUUGCCAAGUAGGAGCUUACACCGUGUGUGUUCGUCAGUCCUUCGUCAGUGUAAUUCAUCACUUCUCCUGUCAAUAGCAGGUAAGAACAGGAACAUUGCUCCAUGAGGAAAUAUUGCCACACAAUGAUGAUUUUCACGCAACAUCGCUACUUAAAUUUAGAAAGUGCACUCUGUAACUUUCUUCCUUAAAUCCUUAUUUAUAUUUUCUGCUGUUUCAGAAACUUUGACGGCAGCUGCACAUUUGGCCAUGAGUGGUGUCACAAGUGCCAAAGGCUCAUUCAUGAUUUUGACUCUGCUGUGUCUGGUCCAUUUUUCAAGUUCAGUGAUAAACACGGACCAACUGGAGGAGCUGAAAGCAAACAUUCAAAAACUACAACAAGAAACAAUGAGAAGGAAGGUGAGUCUGUCAAUAUCAAUGUUGAGAACAUCUAUAACUGCUAACAUAAAAACUCCCAUCAUAUCAAAGUCUUUUUGUUAUGUAUUCACUACAUCACUUAUAUUAAGUGGGUUUACUUUUUGUCCUCCAGGCUGAAAAUAUUUUAGACAGAACCUACGUUCCAGCUAUCUUUGAUGAUAUUGGACGCUUCAUGGAUCCUUUGUCCGAACUUCUGAAGUCAGUGAAAGGUUCUACAUUGGUACUUACACCAGUGCUGGAUUUAAUGAAUGACCUAAAGACUUUCCUGGAAGCCAGCAAGAAGUACAUAAAUAAAUACCUUGAAACAAAAGCUGCAGAAAUCAAGGACAAUGAAGAGAAACUAAGCAGUGUGAUGGCAAUAUUAACACAUCUAGAAAAGCAUAAAGAAGAAUUGUAACAUAUUAGUGUUCUUCUCUGGUAUUAAAUGUUCUGUAUUUGUAAAACUUCUCUUUCAUACUGUGCAGAGUUAGAGCCAAGAAAUAAUUUUGUCAUAUUUUCUUUUCAUUGUCUUUGUUAUAAUUGAGUUCAAAUGCAAAGACGAAACACAUAACUGAGAUUAUAUCUAAGUAACCUUAUUAACACUGACAGCUGUUAAUGAUUUAAAUGAUAAAAGCCUUUUAAUGUGAAUAAAGACAUUAAAGACAUGUUAUUAUUUAAUGUUUUUGCAAAUUGUGAUGUUCGUGAGAAAAGACAGAAGCUGUGGCUGAUCGUUCUCUAGUGUUUGUUCACUGCCCAAAAUGUAAACUCCUUAAGCUACAAAAUGCAGAACACCCAUCAGGUGAUCCUCUGAUGUAGGCCGUCUGUGUGUGCAUGUGUGUGUGUACUGUUAUUCCACACUACUGACUAGAUGUUUUAUACUGGUGUUAAAGGGAGAGUUUAGUUCUACACUCAAUCACAUUAAAGACCACAAGAAACAACACAUCUUAUUUGACUUGUAAAUCAUCAGUGAUGCCCUGGAAAAGAGAUUGAGCAAAAUUCAU
rnacentral:lncRNA from 1 species